rnacentral:rRNA from 1 species
AGUGAACGCUGGCGGUAGGCCUAACACAUGCAAGUCGAACGGCAGCACAGUAAGAGCUUGCUCUUACGGGUGGCGAGUGGCGGACGGGUGAGGUAUACAUCGGACUCUACUUUUUCGUGGGGGAUAACGUAGGGAAACUUACGCUAAUACCGCAUACGACCUACGGGUGAAAGCAGGGGAUCUUCGGACCUUGCGCGAUUGAAUGAGCAGAUGUCGGAUUAGCUAGUUGGCGGGGUAAAGGCCCACCAAGGCGACGAUCCGUAGCUGGUCUGAGAGGAUGAUCAGCCACACUGGAACUGAGACACGGUCCAGACUCCUACGGGAGGCAGCAGUGGGGAAUAUUGGACAAUGGGCGCAAGCCUGAUCCAGCCAUACCGCGUGGGUGAAGAAGGCCUUCGGGUUGUAAAGCCCUUUUGUUGGGAAAGAAAAGCAGCAGGUUAAUACCCCGCUGUUCUGACGGUACCCGAAGAAGAAGCACCGGCUAACUUCGUG